UGGGGAAUCUUGCACAAUGGGCGAAAGCCUGAUGCAGCGACGCCGCGUGCGGGAUGAAGGCCUUCGGGUUGUAAACCGCUUUCAGCAGGGACGAGGCCGCAAGGUGACGGUACCUGCAGAAGAAGCCCCGGCUAACUACGUGCCAGCAGCCGCGGUAAUACGUAGGGCGCGAGCGUUGUCCGGAAUUAUUGGGCGUAAAGGGCUUGUAGGCGGUUGGCCGCGUCUGCCGUGAAAUCCUCUGGCUUAACUGGGGGCGUGCGGUGGGUACGGGUUGACUUGAGUGCGGUAGGGGAGGCUGGAAUUCCUGGUGUAGCGGUGGAAUGCGCAGAUAUCAGGAGGAACACCGGUGGCGAAGGCGGGUCUCUGGGCCGUUACUGACGCUGAGGAGCGAAAGCGUGGGGAGCGAACAGG
rnacentral:rRNA from 1 species